AGCCUUUCCCCCACCCCCCGCUUCUGCAGGGCACAUGGGAUAGGCUCCUGCCGCAUCUCCACCCUGCCCCAGCCGGGAAACACCCAGAGAGGGAAGUCCGUGAAUGUCACCGCUGAGAAAUGUCCCACACCAAGCUGCACCAAACCUAGCCGCUCUGAAUUGAAUUAACAAGACGAGGUCCCCUUCAUAUACCACAGUCCAGGCACGAUACAGCCAACACACGUGUGUGACACACAUACACUAUUUCUGUUUAUGACACACGUCCUGCCCAUAGCAGGAUGUUGGAGGGGUCUGUCCCUCGGUUCCAGCGCCCAUGUUUCUACACAGCUCAGUGGUUCUAGCUUUGCACGUCACAUUUUUUUGCAUCCUAGCAGCUGCAGCUGCCCUUUCUCUCAGUGCAAAGCGAAACUUGGCUGCAACACCAGGGCAGAGUGUGGCCUGACCCCCCUCCUGCCCUGCAGAAUUUAGCUCCAAGGAGAACUGAGUGCCAGCGCGGGGUAUUUGGUGCGCUCCACUUCCACCUCCGGGGAGGGAGCGACGGUUUACUUCAGGGAGAAACAAAGGGGCAGCAGAAGCGAUAAGUAACAUUAUCUCUUCUUGCUGUGGUGAGAAGCUGGGGCUCAAGGCUGUUGCAGCUGCUUCUGCUUCUGCAAAGAAGGAAGAAGCAGCCCGGACAUCACUGUUUUAAACGCAGUCUGCUGAUCGCUGCAGUUAGGAGCACAGAGCAAAGCACAGAGGCUGCGGGGAGAAAGUGCAGAGCAACUGAAGCUGCCCAGCCAAUGGGUUUCUGCUCUGUGUAACAGCCCAGGCUCAGUGUGAGUAAGAAGCUUCAGACUCCUUCCAGAUAUUUUGAAUUAUAGAAGAAGAAAUGAAUCUUGCAAAUGACAGUGCAAAGUUCAGUACCAUUUAUGACUGGGACUAUGUUGUGUGGAAAGUUCGUUUGACAUUACUAGCAGCUGGUUUUUUCAGCUACCUGGGAGUAUUUCUUCUCGCUCACUGGCUGGCCUCAUGGAUCAGUGCCAGUUAUCGCACUUUGUCAGCAAAGCAGAAGAUCUUCUGGAAUAUGAAUAUCACACGUGGCCUGUUUGCAGUUCAGAGUUGUGGAGCUGGGUUGUGGGCCUUGCUUAUAGAUCCAGUUUUUCAAGCUGACCAAGUGUAUGCACAGCAAAAGUGGAGCUGGUUUCAUUGCUUAAUAGCCGCUGGCUACUUCUUGCUUGAAAAUGUAGUUAUUCAUGUGUCUAACAUUGUUUUCAGGAUAUUUGAUGUGUUCGAGGUAGUUCAUCAUUUAUUUGCCUUUGGUGGGCUUCUUGGUCUGAUAAUUAACAUAAAAUCUGGACACUAUCUACCCCUGAUGGGACUGCUACUUGAGAUGAACAAUCCUUCAUACUGCAUAUCCUUUAUGCUUGCAAGGAUUGGCUGUGCUAAUACCCUUUUUGGGAAGGCAACCCAAUGGGUAAAUAUCCAUAUGCUUCACUGCCGCAUGGUCCUUAUUUAUCAUAUGUGGUGGGUGUGUAUUACCCAUUGGAAUGAUGUGGUGGAAAAUCUGGGACUUCCAUAUUUUAUUGUUUUUUUCAUGGGGUUAAGUACACUUACAUUAAUACUUAAUCCAUACUGGAUAUUCAAAUCGACUCAGCGGCUCUUUGGUCCAGUUGACAGGAAAUUUCCAAAUACAGCAGUGAAAAAUGCAUCCUGUGAAAAUUUAAAUAGUGAAACAUUCCAAAAGAAGAGGAUAUAGUUCUGCAACAGCUAUUAGGGUUGCAGUAAAAUAUGGCCAGGAGAAAGUGGUGCAGGUUUACUAGCAAGUCCAUGAAAAUAGAAUUGCUUACAAGAAGUCUAUGAAUAUAUUGAUCUGUCUGCAGUUUGCUAUCAGUGUACUAUAUUCAUUUAUCAAAAGUGUUUUAAAAUUGUUGUUGUCUAUCUUUAAAAUAUACACACACUCUUUGACUCAGUCAGGAUUGGUGCCAGUAAUUUUAGUCUGGGAGCCUAAUGCCAGACUGGCGUACGAUAUUGAACCUAUUGGUUGGCAAAUAUGAGCCCAUGCAAAAGUAAAUAUCACAUGCAUAAAGUUCCAGCAUGGAAUACAGCUCGACCUGGUUAUAGUGACCUUACAGCAAGGACAUCACACAGAGUGGAUGAUUGAUGAGUGAGUAAAUGUGGGGUGAUCUUCGUUCGGUACCAACCCUCAGCCCAUUCUAAAACACUAAUUAGGUAAAAAUUAGUAACCACAUGCCCACUGGGCAUGCUUUUAAGAUAUGUGACUCCUUUGAGGAAAAAGAGUAUAAGAAUCAAGCAAAGUAAAUUACUGUGUUUGGGAUUCCUUAAUUGACGCUUGAAGAAGCAACGCUGCUAGACAGAGUAGCCAAAACUCUUCUCCUUGGGCUCGAGUAGGACUGUGAACCAGAGGGGUCUCAAGGCCUUGCCUUGAGGGAAUCCGAGACAGACCAGAGGGUUGAGAAGAACAGACCUGGAGAGAAGAAGCCGUCUAUAAAAUUGAUGAGGAGGAGGAGAAUGUGCAGCAGGCAAGCAGUGAAUCCGUUCUCCCCGGCAGCCAGGACCUUUUCAUCACCUUGGAGCCAAUACCCUCUCAAGGUGGGAUCCCCGACCCUGAAGCCAGAGAAGGCACCUCUGGUGCAAAUGUUUCUAUGCUCCUCCUAUCCUCUCUGUCCCUGAGGUUAUAGCAGAUUAGAAAGUGGAAAAAAACACACUUGCGUUGACAUGUUUGCCAAGCUCAUGCAGUCCUCCCGCACUGAUAGGGCACAGCUUAAUGCAUGGAGGCAUUCAGUGGCAGAGGCCAGGAGAGAAUUAAGUGAGCUUGGAGAGCAGAGGCAGGACAUGAUGCUGAGGCUAAUGGGGGAGCAAACGGACAUGAUGAAGCAUCUGUUGGAGCUGCAGGAAAGCCAACAAGAGCACAGACUCCCGCUACAUCCACUGCAAAACUGCAUGCCCUCCUCCCCAAGUUCCAUAUCUGCCUCACCCAGAUGCCCAAGAACACGGGGGCAGGGAGGCUUCGGGCACCCAGCCACUCCACUCCAGAGGAUGACCCAAGCAACAGAAGGCUGUCAUUCAAACAGUGUUUAUUGUAGCCACACUAAAAAUCAAAAUGUGGCCUUGUCCUUCCCUCUUCCCCUACCCCAACUGGGCUACCUUGUCCAUUAUCUCUCUUUUUUAAAAAAAAAAAUUAAUAAAGAAAGAAUGCAUGGUU